rnacentral:rRNA from 1 species
AGGAUUAACGCUGGCGGCGUGCCUAACACAUGCAAGUCGAACGAGGUAGCAAUACCUAGUGGCAGACGGGUGAGUAACACGUGGGCAACCUACCGUAAAGUGGGGGAUAACUAGCCGAAAGGUUAGCUAAUACCGCAUGAAACGUGCCGGGGCAUCCCGGAACGUUAAAAGGAGCAAUCCGCUUUAUGACGGGCCCGCGCCCGAUUAGCUAGUUGGUGGGGUAAUGGCCUACCAAGGCUCCGAUCGGUAGCUGGUUUGAGAGAGCGACCAGCCACACUGGGACUGAGAAACGGCCCAGACUCCUACGGGAGGCAGCAGUGAGGAAUUUUCCGCAAUGGGCGAAAGCCUGACGGGAGCGACGCCGCGUGUGGGAAGAAGGCCUUCGGGUCGUAAACCACUGUCGAAGGGGACGAUAAUGACGGUACCUUGGAGGAACGCCCCGGACUAACUACGUGCCAGCAGCCGC